rnacentral:lncRNA from 1 species
AAGCUCUAAGAGAAAUUUAGAGAAUCAUUAUUCACUAUUUCCCCAUUAUUUUCUCUUAAACAGUAUAUGAGCUAUGAAGGGUUUGUCUGGAAGUAGAUGUUCCUUAUAGUUCUUUUAGACAGAAUAACCAAAGCACAUAUAUGAAAGUUACUGUCAGAGUGGUGUGAGAGGAUAAAGAAGUAUUUAUGUUCUUCCCUUUUUUCCUAUUUUCAUUCCUGUGCUU